CGGAAUCUACUUUUUCGUGGGGGAUAACGUAGGGAAACUUACGCUAAUACCGCAUACGACCUUCGGGUGAAAGCAGGGGACCUUCGGGCCUUGCGCGAUUGAAUGAGCCGAUGUCGGAUUAGCUAGUUGGCGGGGUAAAGGCCCACCAAGGCGACGAUCCGUAGCUGGUCUGAGAGGAUGAUCAGCCACACUGGAACUGAGACACGGUCCAGACUCCUACGGGAGGCAGCAGUGGGGAAUAUUGGACAAUGGGCGCAAGCCUGAUCCAGCCAUACCGCGUGGGUGAAGAAGGCCUUCGGGUUGUAAAGCCCUUUUGUUGGGAAAGAAAAGCAGCAGGCUAAUACCCCGCUGUUCUGACGGUACCCAAAGAAUAAGCACCGGCUAACUUCGUGCCAGCAGCCGCGGUAAUACGAAGGGUGCAAGCGUUACUCGGAAUUACUGGGCGUAAAGCGUGCGUAGGUGGUUGUUUAAGUCUGUUGUGAAAGCCCUGGGCUCAACCUGGGAACUGCAGUGGAAACUGGAUGACUAGAGUGUGGUAGAGGGUAGCGGAAUUCCCGGU
rnacentral:rRNA from 1 species